AAGGGAGGCCCCAACAGCGAUGGCUGCAAACCCUUGGAGGUGGCAUUGCCAAAAGCGGACGUCAAUAGAUGUAAUGCAAAAAUAGUGUCUUGUGUUCAAAAAAGGUUGGGAAAUACUGAGUGAAAGAAUAGUGCACAAACCAUAGGCACACAGCUCAAGGAAUUAUCAGGAAUUGAACAUGUCCACGUGUGCCCAACCCAGCUCUCCAGCACACCUUCCCAGCCUCAACCCAUCAUCUGGAUUCUGAGGUUCUUGGCUCCAGUGAGGACGUUAUUGCUGAGAAUUAGAUGCUGAAGUUGGCACCAUCAAAUAACUAGUCCUGGAUGCAUGUCACUAGUAGCAGCCAUCUCACUGCCUCAGGAACUCAAGUUUACCAUGGUCACCAUGGCCUUGGAGAAUACUCACCUCAUCCUUUUUGUGCAUCACUCGCUCUCAAUUCUAAAAAAGGAGAGAACAUCUGAUUGGCAAAGCCUAGGUGAUACAAAUAUCUGGAAUUCUCAUCUUUUGUAAUGGGAAGUAACUCUGCUUGCUGUUAAGAUUCACAGAGUAAAUAAUCACCAGCUCCUGGAGGGGCUCGUGGGUAGGUAUGGAGAGAGAUGAGCAAUGGUCUACACAGAUGACAGAACAUAUCCACAUCCCUAAGCAGCUUUGGAGUAAACCAGAGUAAAAGCAACCAAAACAGAGUCCAAGUCAGGGUCCUUCCAUCCUCAAACCAGGCUCCAGUGG
rnacentral:lncRNA from 1 species